rnacentral:rRNA from 1 species
AGCCUAGCUUGCUAGGAAUUACAGGGAGCGGCAGACGGGUGAGUAACGCGUGGGAAUGUGCCUUUUGGUUCGGAAUAGCCCCGGGAAACUGGGAGUAAUACCGGAUAAGCCCUUCGGGGGAAAGAUUUAUCGCCAAAAGAUCAGCCCGCGUUAGAUUAGCUAGUUGGUGAGGUAACGGCUCACCAAGGCGACGAUCUAUAGCUGGUCUGAGAGGACGACCAGCCACACUGGAACUGAGACACGGUCCAGACUCCUACGGGAGGCAGCAGUGGGGAAUCUUGGACAAUGGGCGAAAGCCUGAUCCAGCCAUGCCGCGUGAAUGAUGAAGGCCUUAGGGUUGUAAAAUUCUUUCAGCAGGGAAGAUAAUGACGGUACCUGCAAAAGAAGCCCCGGCUAACUCCGUGCCAGCAGCCGCGGUAAUACGGAGGGGGCUAGCGUUGUUCGGAAUUACUGGGCGUAAAGCGUACGUAGGCGGAUAGGUAAGUCAGAUGUGAAAUCCCAGGGCUCAACCCUGGAACUGCAUUUGAAACUGCCAAUCUAGAGUUCAGGAGAGGUAAGCGGAAUUCCGAGUGUAGAGGUGAAAUUCGUAGAUAUUCGGAGGAACACCAGAGGCGAAGGCGAUUUUCUGGACUAUAACUGACGCUGAGGCGCGAAAGUGUGGGGAGCAACAGGAUUAGAUACCCUGGUAGUCCACGCUGUAAACUAUGAGUGCUUGAUAUCGGGACAUUUGUUCGGUGUCGGAGCUAACGCGUUAAGCACUCCGCCUGGGGACUACGGUCGCAAGACUAAAACUCAAAGGAAUUGACGGGGACCCGCACAAGCGGUGGAGCAUGUGGUUUAAUUCGAUGCUACGCGAAGAACCUUACCAGCUCUUGACAUAGUGAUUUGGGGAGAUAGAGAUAUUUUCCUUCAGUUUGGCUGGAUCACAUACAGGUGUUGCAUGGCUGUCGUCAGCUCGUGUCGUGAGAUGUUAGGUUAAGUCCUGUAACGAGCGCAACCCCUAUCCUUUUUUGCCAGCGAGUAAUGUCGGGAACUAUAAGGAGACUGCCUGUGUCAAACAGGAGGAAGGUGGGGAUGACGUCAAGUCAUCAUGACCCUUAUGGGCUGGGCUACACACGUGCUACAAUGGCGGUAAAAUUGGUCGCGAAACCGUGAGGUGGAGCUAAUCCUUUAAAAGCCGUCCCAGUUCGGAUUGUACUCUGCAACUCGAGUACAUGAAGUUGGAAUCGCUAGUAAUCGCGGAUCAGCAUGCCGCGGUGAAUACGUUCCCGGGUCUUGUACACACUGCCCAUCACACCAUGGAAGUUGAUUUUGCUUGAAGCUGGUGAGCUAACCGA